CCUACGGGUGGCAGCAGUGGGGAAUAUUGCACAAUGGGGGAAACCCUGAUGCAGCGAUGCCGCGUGGAGGAAGAAGGUUUUCGGAGUGUAAACUCCUUUUAGCAGGGACGAGAAGGACGGUACCUGAAGAAAAAGCUCCGGCUAACUACGUGCCAGCAGCCGCGGUAAUACGUAGGGAGCGAGCGUUGUCCGGAAUUACUGGGUGUAAAGGGAGCGUAGGCGGGACGGCAAGUCAGAUGGGAAAACUGAGGGCUCAACUUUCAGACUGCAUUUGAAACUGCUGUUCUUGAGUGAAGUAGCGGUAAGCUGACUUCCUAUUGUCGCUGUUACCUGCGUCGUUAUUAGGAG
rnacentral:rRNA from 1 species